rnacentral:SRP_RNA from 1 species
CCGUGCUAGAUGGGGAGGUAGCGGUGCCCUAAACCCGCAAUCCGCUAUAGCGGGAUUGAACUCCCACUGCAGGGUUGUGAUUUGUGGGGUCUGGCUAAUGUAAGUGGCAAUGAGGAUUGGGUCCUGCGCAACGGGAACUCAUGAACCCCGUCAGGUCCGGAAGGAAGCAGCGGUAAGUGACCAUUUUCGUGUGCCGUAGGAUUGCCUGAUUGGAGUUAACUGCAUUGGUAACGCUCGGAAACGCAAUUCAAAGGUGGGUGCACGG